UAUACAUGGAUGUAUACCAUGUGUGCCUGAUGUUCACAGAAGUCACUGAGCAUUGGAUUCUCUUGACCUGAAGUUACAGAUGAUUGUGAGCCUCCAAGUGAGUGCUGAAGGUUGAUACAGGUCCUCUUCAAACCCAAGAUAUAAACUUAAAUUGUUGGGCCUUCUUUCUACCCUAAGGUGUUUCUCUCUCUCUCUCUCUCUCUCUCUCUCUCUCUCUCUCUCUCUCUUCUUCCUCUUCUUCCUCCUCCUCGUUCUUUUAAAAUUAUCCAUUACUUUGAUAACAUUUUGGGAUGUUUUUGAUCUUUCAGCCAGUAAGUCAUCAAAAAUGCAUUCCGUUGCAGGAAUAUCAUAUUAGCUUUACAGUUUAAACUGGAGGACUCUAGUUUUUGAAAGACAAGCACAGAGGUGGGUGAAUGUUUAACUUUUUGAAUGAAUUUUGAGUGGGCCCUUGAGUACUUUCUAUCUUUUUUGAAUGCCUAUCAGGAAAGAAUAUCACCUUCUCUGAUGAUAAAACACAGUUAGGCUUACAGACACCCAGAAAAACUUUGAUGUUUUGCCCUUUGUCAGAGGACUGCCUCUGAGCUAAAAAUCAUGCCCCCAAUCAAGAGAAACAGACUAUCUCUCAGAUUUGCAGAAAAAAAAAUCCCAAGAGUAUUAAGGAUUGGCCUUACAUUAAAUUCCUAUAAUUGUUUAAUUAACCAGUUCGGUUACUGCCAUACAGAUUAAAUAAUAACCAAUGACCCUGGAAGCAAAAGAAGAAAUUGCAGUCCAUAUUGCCUGGCUUAGAGACAUGCAUCCUGGUGUGUUGCUAGUUGUGCUGGCACCCACAUCUCCUGCCUGUGGAGAAACCUGGGACCUCUGAUUAUAGACCUGUCCAAGAUCUAAGAGAUGUUAGCAAAAGGUUUGAGACCAUUCACCACACAGCUCCAAACCCAUACACUCCCAUAAGCAUGAUUCCUCCAGAGAAACAGGUAUAGAUUGUCUUUGACUUGAAAUAUGUAUUCUUCAGCCUUUCAUUAGCAGAGGUGAAUCAACCAUUUUUGCUUUUGAAUGGACAGGCCCAGAGGGAGGUUAAACUGGACAACUUACUUGUACAAACUUUCCCCAAGGAUUUAAGAACUAUUUGACGUGGCACUAAGUACUGACCUCCUGCCCUCUGUCAGAAGUUUCCUGGGACCAUGCUUUUACAGAAUGUGGAUGACAUACUCCUGUCCUCUGAAACUGAAAUUGUAGAAGGGCCACUGAGGAACUGCUACAAGAAUUCCAGACAUUGGGUUACAGAGUGUCUCCUAAAAAAGCCGACUUUGUACCUCAGAGGUUACCUAUCUUGGCUACCCAACUGAGGGAAGGCAAAAGGAGCCUGUUUCAGAGUAGGAUUGCUGCCAUCCUUCAGAUCCCAACCGAAAAAACUAAGAGACAGAUUCAAGAGUUCCUGGGUGUGGUUGGGUAUUGCCAGAUCUGGAUGCCAGAGUUUCCAGAAAUAGCAAAGCCUCUACACACCAGCACAAAAGAGGGUACUAAGCCCCUAAUCUGGACCAGACUGAACAAAAAGCUCUAAAAACAGCGCUGACUUCAGCUCCAGCUCUAGCACACCCAGAUGUCUCAAAACCUUUCAUCUGUUUGUCCAUGAAACUAAAGGCAUUGCAAAAGGGGUUAUAACCCAAACUUUAGGGUCAUGAAAAUACUCUAAAGUUUGGACUCUGUUUCCUCAGGAUGGCCCACCUAAGAGCUGUAGUAGGUACAGCUAUUUUAAAAGAAGACAAGUCAGCUCUGGGUCAGUAUCUUAUGCUCAGCAUCUCAUGCAGUUGAAGCCCUCUUCCAAGGAACAUCCAAAUACGGGAUGUCUAAUGUGAUCCAGUACCAUAAAUCCUUGUACACUCUUGCCUGAGAAUAACCUACAGAUGCUCAUCCAUGAUUAUCUUGAGGUAACCACAGUGGUCUGGGGAUCUUCCUACACUUAAUGGACACCCCUUGACAGAUCCUAAUGCAGGACUCUACACAGAUGGAACCAGGUAUGCAGGAGCUGCAGUAGGUACUUUAUGGAAACAAUUUGGGUCCAGGCUUUAGGGCAGGUACCUCAGCCCAGAGAGCAGAAUUGAUUGCUGUAACCCAGGCUUUCAGAUGUGAAAAGAAAAAUCUGCCAGCAUAUAUAUGAACAGUUGCUAUGCCUUUGCUACUGCAUAUGUCCAUGAUGGUGUGAUCUAUAAGAAGACAGGGAUCCUCAGUGCUGGGGAAAGGACAUUAAAAGCAAAGAGGAAAUCUGGCUCUCCUAGUCACUAUUUGACUUCUCCUAUGAGUUGCUAUCCUCCACUGCCAAGGACAUCAAAAAGAUGACUCCCCUGAGGGAAGAGUCAACUGGAAAACUAGACAGUCCUCCAGUGCAGGAAGUAUUUCUCUUCCUCAUCAUCACCAGCUCCAGCACCACCCUGGAACACCUUGGUGUUCUUCCUCUUCACUGAAGGAGAAUGGAGGGAGAAGACAAUGUGCUUGCGGGAGCCCAGAUGGACAAUGAAGGAUGGGAUGUUCAUCACCUGCUUGCGGACCCUCUUGACGCUGGCGGAUAAGCACACGGGCAUGAUGAAUAGAUUUGGCCAGGCCCAGCUUAAAGAUCUGGGUCUGAGGCUGGAGAGAGCACACUGGCUGUUCUUCCAAAGGUCCUGAGUUCAAUUCCCAGCAACCAUGUGGUGGCUCACAACCAUCUCUAAUGAGAUCUGGUACCUUCUUCUGGCAUGCAGGCAACUGUAGGAUGGAUGGAUGGAUGGAUCAAUAGAAACCUGGGUCUGCAGCUGCCUCUCCAGGAAAUCCUCAUCUUCAGUGCAGAAUGUAACCAGCUUCAUCUUGUCCUUCUCCAGCUCCUGCUGAGGACAAGCCACCUCAGGAGAGCAUUGCCUUCAAAAUGAUGCUGUGGAUCCUUUUCUUCCAGCAUCAUCAGCUCCCAGGCAGCCUUGAGGAUCUUGGCCAAGGUAAACUUGGCCCUCCACACCUCACAUGGUUCCAGAGCCCAUACUCUCCGAUCAACUUCAGUUCCUGGUUGAAAUGCAGUUUCUCAAAGGGUCUCCGUGGUUACGUAGGUUUUGCAACAAACCAACUUCUGGCAACUGACAUGUUUCUUCUCUAGGCCCACUGUGCCUACGAACUCAUGCCCAUGACAAAGAGCCAAUCCAAAACUUAAUAAGACAAUUCUUAGGGAUAGCAGUGGGCUUAGGUAAAUAAGACUGUCAAGCUCCCCUUGACCAGUUAGUAUUUUCUGACUGUUAUGGUGUAAAUAAAUCCAUUCCAAAACUUUA